AGAAACCCUCAGGCAAGGCUUUGAUGCCAUGCCUGGAUUGUGUCAGAGCGGCAGCAGACCUGAGGUCAUUCUGCCCUUUGUAAAACCAUGGAUGUAUUGAAGAUUUGCUUCAUUCCAACGUGAUAGAAUAUUUGAUUUGUUGGUAUCAACUAUCUGCACAUAUUUCCAAAAAAAACAGAACCCACAAAAUUGUUGAUAU
rnacentral:misc_RNA from 1 species